UCAGUGGCUAGAAAGGAAUGGAAGCAGCCUUGGCCAGUGACAGACCAGUUCAAAUACCUCCAGAGGCUCUUGGAGAUUCCUGGCAGGCAUUCCUGUUUGAAAAUGUGCAAGUGCUUAUGUUUUCUUCCAGAAAAACUUUGCUUUUACACUGCUGUGUUUCUGCUCUGUCAUCUGUGGCUUCUCUACUCAGGGUGUGGUGAACACUGGUUACAAGGACUUGCCAAGAAGAAUGGCUACUCAAGCCAGUAGCCUUUUUUUCCAACGACAUCUUGAAAUUAUUAAAGCUGUUUCUCCUGAGAAAGAAUAUUUUCACUUUGAACAAAAGGAUGAUUUAGAUUAUAGGGCUGUUGGUCAUGUCAUUAGAGGAAUUUGGGUAAUAAAGCUCAGUUGUGUGCUGUGCAGGAGGGAUGGCAGGACUGUCUACUCAGAACACUCUGGAUCUGGGAAUAGCCCUGAUAGGAUUGAGGUGUCAAAGCACCAGGAGCAAGCAGCAGUAGAAGCACUGAAGUCUUCAGCAGAAAUUCUGGGCAUGACUCUGUGUGGCACAAUGGGAAUGUGCACUUUUUGUAAGGUAAGGAAAGCACGGUGCACAGGAUCAGAGAAGGAGCAGGACUCAGUCUGGGAUAUGUUGGUGGAGGACAUUCUCUUCUGUUCCCUCUCCUGUGUUGGGCCUGAAGAAGACUAUGUGGAAAACCAGAUGGACUCAAAAAUUGCAAGAAGCAGUAGCAAAGGAUUUAAAUCAGGUAAGAUUACAAGUGCUUUGGGAGGUUGUGCUGUAGAUUCCAAGUUGGCAUCUCUUUUCAAUCUCAAUGUAUCUUUACCCCAUGCACUGACAUGACCCUUUAUUCAACCUCCACUUGGAUGACAUUUCUGCUACCUUCCAGGAAAGGAAUUGUUUUUUGUAGCAGCUCCCUCUUAUUCAUUUUGAGAAAAGGAUUAAAUACUCCCUCUGACCAAGCUUACAAGCAUGCUAAACUGAAGCCACUUCAUGCUCCUGGCCAAACAAAGAACAAAAAUACCCACAAUAAGCAAAAGCAGAUGGCUUCAGUGGCAGGAAAUGAAUGAGCCAGACUGCAGGUAAAAUGGUUCUCUGAACACAUCGCCGAGGUUUGCACUGACAGGUUCUUUGUUAUCUGGGGCCUCCCCACAGGAGGCCAGAUGUCUUCUGUUGUGAGAGGAGAUAGAGAUGCUCUUCCUUUUCCUCCCCCUUUAACUUAUGGCUGUUUAAGUUACUGCUAAUGGAAGCAGAAGCCUGUUUUUCCCUCUUGGUCUCUGAUGUUUUUGGAAACAGAGGAGAUAGUGAAGGGGUAUUCUGAUAUGAAAGAAAAGGCCCAGAACUGGCCUUUACCUCCCCAUGACCCUCAAUUUAAAGAACAGGGAGGUUAGUGCUGCUAAUUGCACUUGAAAGGAUUAACCACUUGAUUGCUUCCAUUUAGUGGAACAAAAUUUUUCUUUAGUCUCAAAGCUGGGGAAAUGUAUCAGUCAUGCUAAGAUGUUUUCAGUGUGAGAUGGAUGACUCAGUUUGGCUUCUUAUAGCAACAUCAAAACUAAAUAGAGAAUGUAAAUAUUUUUAUGUAUAUGAGAGAAAGGGCAACUACAUCUGCUGCUCAGACAGGACAUAUUUGCAGCAGAAGUGACAAAACACUCCUUCCUGCCCCCAUAAAAGGUUAUCAGAGGAACAGCAACAGACCAUAACGAAUUACAGAUAUUAGGUGUGCCUCUGUCCCUCGGUAUAACAAAUCACCCUUGCAUUACACUGAGGUUGCACUGGAAGAAAAGGAAUCUGAACCCAAUUCCUGGACACAGCGUGCCAGAUUUAAAAUCCUUUCUGUACAUUAAUUUCAUCUGAGAGUUGAAACUAAUUUUCUUUUGGAAAAGGUUCUUAAUUCCCAUUGUUCAAAUAAAGUGAGGUACACAAAACUUAAAUUUGGAAACAAUUUUUCACCUUAUGAAACUGUUUUCCAAAAGUAACAAAGAACAGCUUAUACAAGCUUUUAUCUGACCUCUGCUUCUUAAAUAAAAAACAUGUUUUCAGGGAAAUGUGUCUUGGAAGUAACUGCCCCUCUCCCCCCAGAUUUUUCUCUCUGGCUCUUGUAAAACAUGAGGUCAGUGGGUUAAUUUUAUUUUUGUUUGCUUAAAGUGGGUGAAAGUUUCCUUCUCAAGCUAUUAUACUUGUGUCAUUUAAAAAAAAAUUACAACAAUCUUUGUUUAAGAAAUACAAGAACAGAUGGAAAUGUCAAAAGACUAUCAAAAUUCAUACCAAAAGAAAUAACAUUAAUCAUUUCAAAAUGCCAAAAUAACCUCUCAAUAGCAAUAAGAACCAAAUGAGUAGGCAGUGUUGUUUCAAUAGCACUGAGACAAGACUGCUGAUUUUUCUCAUUGCUUGGCACAUUAACUCAAUAUAUAGGUAGAUAUAAAAAUUAUCUUUCUCAUUCUGACUUCAAGCCUGUGUGUCCUGUGGUGCUGUUAUAGUUCACGCACAUUUCAUGUGCACUCACAUAACAUAACUAGCAUUUUGUUCUGCAAAUGGGGAUACGUUUUUGUUGUCCACUGAAAUGCAUUUUUAUAUGCACUUUUGCAGAGAAGCAUACAAAUAUGGAAUAUGAUGUAAGAGAGUGUAUUUGUAUCCUGUGUUUGAAGCAAUACUAAGAUUUCAGUAACUUGAAGAAUUAAAAACACAGUACAAACCAGCUGUUGGAGCCUGUAUGGAUUGCUGUUUUUACAACUAAACUAGAGACAAAUCAGAAGAAGUACUUUUUCACUUUAUGCAAACCCUAAGUAAGCAAUGACGGAAUGCUGCCAGCAGUAGCGUGGCAAAAUCUCCAGGAAUAGAAUCAAUAAG